ACGAUGAUGCCCAGCUUGCUGGGUGGAUUAGUGGCGAACGGGUGAGUAACACGUGAGUAACCUGCCCCUGACUCUGGGAUAAGCGUUGGAAACGACGUCUAAUACUGGAUAUGAUCACUGGCCGCAUGGUCUGGUGGUGGAAAGAUUUUUUGGUUGGGGAUGGACUCGCGGCCUAUCAGCUUGUUGGUGAGGUAAUGGCUCACCAAGGCGACGACGGGUAGCCGGCCUGAGAGGGUGACCGGCCACACUGGGACUGAGACACGGCCCAGACUCCUACGGGAGGCAGCAGUGGGGAAUAUUGCACAAUGGGCGAAAGCCUGAUGCAGCAACGCCGCGUGAGGGAUGACGGCCUUCGGGUUGUAAACCUCUUUUAGUAGGGAAGAAGCGAAAGUGACGGUACCUGCAGAAAAAGCACCGGCUAACUACGUGCCAGCAGCCGCGGUAAUACGUAGGGUGCAAGCGUUGUCCGGAAUUAUUGGGCGUAAAGAGCUCGUAGGCGGUUUGUCGCGUCUGCUGUGAAAUCCCGAGGCUCAACCUCGGGCUUGCAGUGGGUACGGGCAGACUAGAGUGCGGUAGGGGAGAUUGGAAUUCCUGGUGUAGCGGUGGAAUGCGCAGAUAUCAGGAGGAACACCGAUGGCGAAGGCAGAUCUCUGGGCCGUAACUGACGCUGAGGAGCGAAAGCAUGGGGAGCGAACAGGAUUAGAUACCCUGGUAGUCCAUGCCGUAAACGUUGGGCGCUAGAUGUAGGGACCUUUCCACGGUUUCUGUGUCGUAGCUAACGCAUUAAGCGCCCCGCCUGGGGAGUACGGCCGCAAGGCUAAAACUCAAAGGAAUUGACGGGGGCCCGCACAAGCGGCGGAGCAUGCGGAUUAAUUCGAUGCAACGCGAAGAACCUUACCAAGGCUUGACAUACACCGGAAACGGCCAGAGAUGGUCGCCCCCUUGUGGUCGGUGUACAGGUGGUGCAUGGUUGUCGUCAGCUCGUGUCGUGAGAUGUUGGGUUAAGUCCCGCAACGAGCGCAACCCUCGUUCUAUGUUGCCAGCGGGUUAUGCCGGGGACUCAUAGGAGACUGCCGGGGUCAACUCGGAGGAAGGUGGGGAUGACGUCAAAUCAUCAUGCCCCUUAUGUCUUGGGCUUCACGCAUGCUACAAUGGCCGGUACAAAGGGCUGCGAUACCGUAAGGUGGAGCGAAUCCCAAAAAGCCGGUCUCAGUUCGGAUUGAGGUCUGCAACUCGACCUCAUGAAGUCGGAGUCGCUAGUAAUCGCAGAUCAGCAACGCUGCGGUGAAUACGUUCCCGGGCCUUGUACACACCGCCCGUCAAGUCAUGAAAGUCGGUAACACCCGAAGCCGGUGGCCUAACCCUUGUGGAAGGAGCC
rnacentral:rRNA from 1 species